AGCCCUAAAACCUUGCCUGUAAAUGCAUCCUUACAUAAAGCUCAAGUCAGACAUUAGAAGAGAAAAAUUCUGGAGAAGUCAGAAACAACAAGAAAAAUACAAAACACUAAAAAGGUCUGAAGAAUUAGAGAAAAAAUACAAAAUAAAAUCACCACAAGCAAUGGUUCAUUGAAAUUCUGUGUGUCUCUUAUGGUUUCUUAAAUGAUUGAAGUAAUGAUUUACUGUUUUUGGGAUCAAAAUGGUGUGAGCAUGCUGAAACUGUUGUUGUUGAUCUGCUGAAUCUCAUUCUCUUCUACUGCGGACUCACUAUUCUUUUGCUUAAUUUCACAGGUAUACCCUGGAUCUCUUUAAAAUGUAAAUUGCAACAUGAGAAGCCUUGUAACUGAUAUGCAAUUCAAGCCUUUUUAUGUCUAAUGAAUAGUCAUUCACGUUGUAAUCUUGUGUUAUUUUAGCUUCUUUGGAUUUGUUCAUCUAUGUAGUUAUGAUUUUGUUUGAGUUUAGUUUCUGGACUGAAACUAUAAAUUGGGGUUCUGGUUAGAUGGUGUGAAAUUCUGAUCUUAUGUGGACUAAUUGGGUGUCUUAGUUGUAGAGAUUCAGCUAGAUGAACAAGGACUCUUAUCUUGUACUUUAAUUAGUUGAAACUAUUUGACUUUUAGUUUGUGUUUUUCUAGCCACCAAUUUAAAUGCAUGUCGAUUCAGACCAUUGAUAUAAUGGAUUUGGGUAAUUUUUUUAUCCUAUUAAUUAUGUUCAAGUUUGCACCCAUAUAGCUUCAAACAUGGCUCAAUGAUUUCAUAAUUUGUCACUAGUUCUUCUUUGUGUAUGUACUGGGAUCUUUGCAUUGUUAAUAGAAUUUUCAAACGAAUCAGUUCAUUAGGUUUGGUUUGUCUUCUUCUUUGGGAAGUGUUGAAUCACUAUAGUCUUGCUAAACUCGCCAAUCCAAAUCAGAUGUUGCAUAGGUCUGUAAUAACUGAGUUUUGACACUAAAAUGACGGAUAAUUUGUGUAUUGUCAUAAUUGAAAGUUAUAUUUCACCAUAAAAUACAUAUACUAAUUUCGGAAUGUGUCAUGCAUUUGAUCUAAGGGUUAUUAGUAUUUGUUCAACUCCAAUUUUUGUGAAUGAUAACUUGUGUUGAAUUGUGUAUUGGGCUACAAGCUUUGGCCCAUUUGUGAUUGUUUCUCCAUU
rnacentral:lncRNA from 1 species